AUACGGAGGAUCCGAGCGUUAUCCGGAUUUAUUGGGUUUAAAGGGAGCGUAGGUGGAUUGUUAAGUCAGUUGUGAAAGUUUGCGGCUCAACCGUAAAAUUGCAGUUGAAACUGGCAGUCUUGAGUACAGUAGAGGUGGGCGGCAUUAGUGGUGUAGCGGUGAAAUGCUUAGAUAGCACGAAGAACUCCGAUUGCGAAGGCAGCUCACAGAACUGCAGCUGACACUGAUGCUCGACAGUUUGGAGAUCAAACAGGUUUAGAUACCCUUGUAGUCCUCACAGUAAGCGAUGAAUACUCGAUGUUUGCAAUAUACAGUAAGCGGCCUAGCGAAAACAUUAAGGAUUCCACCUUUGGAGUACGCCGGUAACGGGGAAACUGACAUGUAUUGACUGGU
rnacentral:rRNA from 1 species